rnacentral:lncRNA from 1 species
AGCCAAUUGGUGGUACAUGAUCUAGUGGGCUACAAACCAAAACCCAGUUAUUCUAACAUCUACAUCUGACAUCCAAUCCCCCUUAACUAAAAAUUGAUAGAAAAGAUAUGUUAAAAGCAAUGUUUACCGUGUACUCCAGCAUGUUUUUGUAUGGCCUUUCAACUUCACGAAGAACAAAUGGUUUCCCAUUGAUGUAAAUAACAGGCUCUUCUCUCAUAUUAUGCCAAAGUAUUGGGCGUCCACCUUCAGAACUUCCUAUCCUCCGGAUGACAGAUCGAAUACCAUCAAUUGUUGGAUUUGCCACUCCAUAAACUGGAAAUCCAGGAACUUCUCGGAAAUUAGGAGCACCAUCCACACUCUCAAGCAAACUUGGGUUUUGAGAUCCAGGACAGUGAUCACUUUUGAGAACAGUUUGACUACCAAGAACCUCGCCAUUUCUCAAGGCAGCAACCACACCCAUCUCAGACGGGCGGCCAUCAGUGGAUUCGGCUAUCAUCUUUAGAGAUGGCUUCAAACUUGAAUAACCAAGUGCACCCAUUGGAUCUCUCCUAAGUAACCUGCAAUGCUAAUUGUCAUGAGUCAUGCCAAAUGUUAAUAGACAUAAGAUCAAGCAAUUUAAUGAAUUAGAUUAUAAUAGAAAUCUAUUGGACUUGGAUUGUGCCAAACUCGUCCCCAUAAAUUAGUUCAUGGGGAGAGGAUUGCCCAAACCUUUAUAAUCUCUACUUUGGCCACAUCUAUAGUCAAUGUGGAAUGUCAACACAAUCUAAUUGGUAAAAGUGGUCCAACUACAUGAUGAAAAAAUUUAUGUCAAGGAUGAAUAUUAGAUCAACAAAGAUAUCUAGCACCUUCAAGUGAAAAUUGACUAAGAAAACUGCAAGUUUAGCAGAUAUCUCAAAUGGGGUCAAUUCCUUGGUGCCUCUUUCCAGAUGUAAAAACAAAAUUAGGAUGGACAAAAGUGCUAUUUUUUCAGGGUAAAAAGAUAGAACUGAAUCAAAGCAAGAUGUCCAAAUCAAUAAUAAAAUUAACUCCCUGAUGUUUUAUAAGAGAAUUAGAGCCAGGGUUAAUUUGACUGCCUUAAAGAAUCUGUCUUGGAGCCAUGCAAAGAAGCUUUUUUUACUUACAUAAGCAUCACCAACAUUCAGAAACAAGAGAUAACUACUUUCAGAAGUGAACGCCAAUCUUGUGUCCCAACUAAGCACCUAUAUACUUGUUGUGAGAUAAAGACAAGUGACUAAAUAAACCCAAGGAUUACUUUUAUACCAGUACCAAGCCACAAAAGCAAUCAGGACCUCAGACCAAAUAUAUAAAUGAAGGUUAUGCUUGAAAGUAGAAGAUAGCUCAGUUCAGUAACAUUUAUGAAUAUAAAGGUUUUAUGGCAAGAUAUACUUUGGCCCAAAUUUAUUCACUAGUUAAAAUCAAUUUGACUAAAUAGAUAUGGUGUCAUACUCCAUAGACCUGAUGAACGGAAAUAAAUAAAAAAUAGGCUAAAUUAAAAUUUUGGUCUCCCUUUAAUUUUUUUAUCCAUAAUUUUGGACCCCCCAUUUUUUCCAUUAUUUUUGCCCAACAAUUUAGAAAAUCCCGAAUUUCAGCUUAAUUCUCAAUUUUGCAAAAUAAAUAUUUCUUUUAUUUUGGUCCAAUUGAACCUCAGAGCUAACAUAUUUAUAAAAGGUACCUUAAAACUUGAUUUAAUUAAUUAAAAUGUAAAAAAUAAAAAGGAAUGAACAUAUGCAAAAUUGAGAAUUUGACCAAAGUUGCGGAUUUUUUAGUAUCAGGGAGCUAAAAUCACAAAAUAAAUAAUGACGCCAAAAUGGCACAUCAAUAAUUAAAGGGUAACUAAAAUUGCAAUUUAGCCCAAAAUUUUAAAAACAUAAGGCUUUGCCCAAUUAUUAAAACUUUAACCUGCGAAUAAUGCUGUAGAGUUCAGGCCUUGCUCUCAUCCAGUCAGCAAAGCUACAGUUAUCAGCUGUAUUAGAACGGAGUGCAGCCCUUUCUGAAUGAAUGUACACAGCAAAGCAUAUUAAAAAGUAGUAUCUCUCCAGGUACUCAACAAAAAAAGAUAGUGAUGCCUCCCUUUUCAUCUCAUCGGGCUGCCGCAAAAUACUAUUGCGAUACGUGGCAAUUGCUUCGCGCAGGUUCUAAAAUUAAAGCAAGACAAGGAUCGGUGAGAGAGUUAAAGAUGAAAUCCUAAAAUUCACCCCACAGAAUACAGGUGAAAAAUUCAGAACAUUGAAGCAGUACAAACAUCCAACUUAGAAUUUAUUUUGAAUAAUGCAGUAUUAAAAUCAUUAGAAAAUAGAAACAGAUAUACCUGCAUUGAAGCACAUUUGUCAAUGACUUUGUCUACUUGUCUUUUCCCCUCAACACCACCCUGAAACAUAUCUGAUAAUUAAGACAACAAGAACAUAUUUUUAUUGUAUAAAAAUAACAUUAAAUUCGAUACCAGUACCUCUAACACCCGAAUCAAGCUUCUUAUGACUGCAUACUCUCCUCUGCGAAUUGCUUCUUCUGAGUCAGGCAAAUGAUCAGCACCAUUGGUCAUACUUUGAAAAAUUCUACCAAUUGAAUUGCUUCUUGGAAACCCUGUCAAUUCAAUAACAAAUACAAUAUUUUGUCAAUGGCAAUUCUAUUAGUACACGUUAUGAUUUGAACUUAAUGACAAUAGAGUGAGGAUAAAUUAAAGGAAAUAAUUAAAGAAAUUCCAUUUUCUUUCCAAGUGACUCAAUAAUUUUAAAUAAAGGUUACUCAGUAUAUAAAACAGUUAUACGACAUUCAUGGAACUAAAGUCUUAUGCAUGCAUGCAUACAUACCCAAUGAAAGUAGUGAUAUGUGGUGAGAAGAACAAAACUAAUCACAAGACCUUCAUUCCAAAGUUUCUCUCUCUCAAAUAAAUAGGUUGGUGCUUUCAUGACAUAUGUUAGACUCAUCUGCACUUACAUACAACAUGCAACAUUCCCAUGAUCACUAGCUGGACAGAAGCCCUGUAACCUAGCUAUAGAUAUGGAAAAAAAUGGACCCUGUGGAGAUGAACUAAAGAGUUGUCUUACCAUAAAAUAUGUUUUCUUUUACAAGAGCUGGUGAAAUAACCAGGCCACAUAAAUAAGCAACCAGAUCCUACUCCUUUAAAAUGGUAUACACGACACAAUUCUUUUCCCUCACGAUAUAAAUCACUAAAACACUCAACACAGCCCGGUUCGGUAAAAAUCCUAAUUUUAGUUUCUUAAAAACCAUGAACUGAACAGAAAUAAGUCGUAAGAGCUUGACCAGCAGAAUAGAGGAGGAACAACCAUUAGCACAAACUGAGUGAAACUGUGAACAGAAAUACCGUGAACCUCUGUGCUUCUCCUCCAGCCAUUAGAACAAACUGAUUGAAAAAGCAAGACCUGCAGAAAAGAGGGAGGAACGAAACAGCGGGAGGAGCGGAACAGCGGACAGCGGAAAGAGUGGAACACCAGACAGCAGGAGAAGCAGGACAGCGAGAGGAGCAUAACAGUGGGAUGUUGGCAAAGCGAUGUUGCUCCUUUACCGGUGAUCCCUUCCCUUGCUUUACAUGUGCUACUACUACUGAGUGAGUUUUUUGGAUUCUUGCUUUUUAAAAAUGGGUAAAUCAAAAAGGGAGUCCGAUAUUACUUGAACUAUUGUGAAAAUCUUCCUACAAGUAAAAUAUAAAUUUUGUUCUCAUGCUUGUUGGGGUGGCAUAGCAAAGGAUGAAACAUCAUCUUGCUGGAACAAAGAAAGAUGUUAUUCCUUGUUGUAGUGUUCCAAAUGAGUUGAAGGAAAUAUUUCUGAAGCUGUUGAAAAGUAAAGAAAAAAAGAAAGAGGAUAACAACUUUGAUUGUGCAGAAGUUACAAUAGAAGUAGCAAAAGGAAAGAAUGAUCUCCAGCAAAUGACAAUCAAUGGAUCUUAUAAGAAUAGAGAAUAUGUAAUUUGAGAAGUUUGCAACUGCAUUUAUGGUAUGUAAUUCAUUGACAUUUAAUCUUGUAAGGAGUCCUCUUUUUAUCUAAAUGCUAAAGGUUGUUGGAGAGUAUGGAAAAGGUUUAAAGUCUCCUUAUCAUGAGGUAAGGGUUUCCUAUCUGAAAAAGUUGUGGAUAAUGUACAAAAAUGUCUAGAAAAAUAUAGAAGUGAUUGGGAGAAAUGAGGAUGCACAUUGAUGUGUGAUGGUUGGACAUAUGAGAAAGAAAGAUCACUCACUAAUUUUCUUGUUAACAAUUCAAGUGGGACUGUUUUUUGAAAUAUAUUGAUACUAGUGAUGUGAUAAAAGAUGGGGAAAAAAUGAGUUGUUGGACAGCAUAGUGGAUGAAAUUGGAGAGGAGCAUGUUGUCCAAGUAGUUACAGAUGGGGCUUCUAACCUUGUGGCAGCUGGAGAAUGUUAAUGGAAAAGAGAACCAAAUUAUUUUGGUCCCCAUAUAGGCACACACUUCCAGUACUUUUGUUUUUACAGUUCUUUGGUGGGAGAGUUAUGGGGGAGAAGAAGGUAAAGAGUUACAAAAGGGAGCCAUGAAAAUUUUGAGCCUCACAUGUAGUGCAACAGGGUAUGAAAAGAAUUGGAGCACAUUUGACCAAGUGCAUACUAAGAGAAGAAAUAGAUUGGAACAACAAAGAUUAAAUGCUCUUAUGCGUGUGAAGUACAAUCUUCAGCUUGAGAUGAGACAAAAGGGAAGAGAAGGAGGAAACUUAUGAUCCCAUAUGUUUGUCGGAUAUUGAAUUGGAUGAUGAAUACAUCACUGAAAAGGAAAAUUCUUGUUUGCCUAUUGAUUCCUCAUGGAUGGAUGCACAUGAGUGCUUUGCUGUUGAAGAGGAAACUCCAAGUAAAAAAAAAGGAAGCGAGGUAAUUAUGUCUAUUUAGAAACUUUAGAAGUUAGAACUUGAAAUGUAAGUUCAACAAACUAGAACUAAAAUUUAUUUGUUUUUCUUUUACUAAUAUAAGUCCUAGAAACUUAAAUGCCAAGACCAAUAAAAAUGGAAAAUCCAUAGUAGGAGAUGAGGAAGAAGUUGAGGACAUUGAAGGGGAAGAGCUUUUAAUAGAAGAUGAAGAUGACUUAAGUGAUGUAGAUCUUGGAGAGGAAGAGGAUGGAAUAUGAAUGACUAGGAUAUAAUUUUUAUUUUUUUUUGAGAUUGUUUAGUAUGUACAAGCAACAACCAUAGUCUGCCGUAAUUAUGUGGUAGCAGCAACAACACUUAUUUUGAGGAAGACUAUAAUGCAAAUUUGUUUAGUAGCAUAUAGCCAUGGUUAUAGAAAUCUUAUGCACCAACCACACCUUUUUUGAAGGUUGUGUUGCUGAAAUUGUGUAGUAAAUACACAGAUACAACCACUUUUUUUGAUUGAGGUUGAUUUCUUAUUAAUUGUAUCUUUGCAUGUUUAUACAUCUUAUAUAUUUAAGUAUAUGUUACAUUUUUUCAAUGUUUAUGAAUCUUACUAUUCACGAUAUAAAACAAUUCAUGAGUCAAAAUAUAAGCUCUCUGAUACAUAAUUUGUAUCUCGAUUCAACUACCAUGCCCAAAACUAACAUCAUAACCAAGGUAGAUGCUGAUAAAAACAGAAAGGAAGGAUGUAGGCAUCUUCCAUAUGUGUUGCCUUGGUAUUAAAAUUCAACAUUUAUGAAAAAUCCAGACUUUCUAUGCUAACUAAAUACUGAAUAUACAAGAAACCAUUCUUACAUUCAAAUUUCUUGGAUGAAUAACUACUUAAAUAAAGCAAUAUAAGCAUUAAAAUCAGAGAAAUAAAAAAAAUAUAUAAAAUGUACCAGAGGCCCCUAUUCGGUUGAGGUAGACCAAAGUUGCAAUGACCAUUCCAGUUGUGGUUCGACCACGCCCCAUUUGACAAUUAAAAAUUAUCUCCGUGUCUACAUCAGCUUGAGAAAUUUUAUUAACCUAAAAUAAAUAAAUAAAUAUGAAAAGUAUGAGUUUUCAAUGUCAAUAAAUAUUGUAUGAAAUAUAAAAGCUACGAGUCCUAACAAUUAAGCACUGUUCAGCAGCAUCAGCAGCAGCUCAAUGACAAGACAAUAGAGAAGGACACUACAUCACCCAACCCCUUGAUGCACCAAAAGAAUAUGUAUGCAGAAAGUGAUACCAAAUGUGAUAGAGCAUAACAAAUACACACAAAAUACUAACCAAGAUAUCAAAAUCCAUUUCCUUUGGAGAUUUUUCAUCAGUUAUAGGAACGCGUUCAUAAUCAACAAGAUAUCCCGCUACUUGCAAUUCCUCAUACACCUACAGCAAAGAAAAAACCUUGAUGCAUUUGUAUCAGAAAAUUGAUCAAGAAAUCUCAAACUGCCAUCAUAUACUAGUUUCAGCCAUACCUCUAGUGGUGUCUUCACAGAAUUACAUGACACCGGCUCCCAUUGGUCCACCAUCUGCCCAUCUGGCAGUUCAUCAGUCACAAGAAUCUUAUUUCCAUAUCUGUCGUAUCCAUGUGCAAAUAAGAUUAACAGUAAAGCAUAAAGAAAACCACAGAUUCACAGGACAAGCACGGAGCAAAGCCACAAAAAUACCUUGCUGCCUCCACCAGGAUGUCUUCUUUCAAACGAGCUUCCAUUUGUUCAACCCUUUCUCUGUUAAUUCCCUAAUCAAGUACAGAAUGCCCCACAAGUUAACGGACUCAAUUCAAACCAACUUGCAGUGUAAGCAUCAGCUAAAUUGAAAGCCAGCACAGAACUGAUAUGCACCGCCAUAACAUACCGUAUACUCAAGGUUUGAGAACGGCCUCUCCACAUCACGCAAAACAAAAGGACGACCAUUAAUGUAGGCAAGCUGAUUCCAACAAAGGAAGGAAAUAAUAAGUAAGGAGAAAACAUUAUCACAAACAUCCAGCAUCAAACUAACAAUACUUAGCCUAAACUCAAGUACUACUCAUGCAACACAGGAGUUAGUUUUAAAAACCCAAACUCCUUGAAGUCAGCCAUAGGUUAAAUUAAAAUAAAAAUAUAACACACCGGUUCCUCACGAAGGCUAAUCCAGAGAACUUUCAAUCGAGCACCAAUGUGGUCGAGAACGUUUCGAAUUCCAUCAAUGGUUGGAAUGGCAACACCGUGAACAUGCAACGAGUCCGAUGCCUAACAACAACAACAACAACAACAACACUAACUACCUGAUUAAAAAAAAUUAUAAAAAAAAAAAUAGAUGAAUUAGCAGAAGACGAAAAGACGAAGAAGACCUACCUGUCGAUAAUUGGGAGCGCCUUCGAUCUGAGGCGACAAACGUUUGUUCUGGCAACCAGGGAAAUGGUCGCUCUUUAGAAUCGUCCUCUUCCCCAAGACACCUCCUCCUCUCAUCUUCAUCACCUGCUCCGGCUCCUUCGGUAUCUGCGACAUCGAACCAACUCACUCUCUUCUCUUCCAAUUGCAAAUCCAAACACCCAAGUCUUCACCACGCUACUCGUUUCUCUCUACCCUCACACACACACACAACACUUCUCACAAUUGCAACUGAAUUUUUCUCUCUCUACCUCCCGCGGAUUUCCAAUUAUCUUACAUAAUUAUUUAUCUCAUAGCUUCUCCUCACUUUACGACUUACUCAAUUUCUGAAACCAACACCAACAACGUGAAAGACGUGAGUGAGUGAAGAGUGACGACGAAAGCCGUGUGAGCUCAAUGUGAUCGAGCUUAUAAACACGAAUCUUCCCUGAUUUUAUUUCUUUGUUAAUCAACCUGUUUAACGUGUUUGCUUAUUUAAUUCUCAUUAAUAUUAUUCUCAUUUUUAAAAUUAAAAAUACAAAAGCACUUCUUAUUUCUCAGGUUGCGAUUAAUGCUUAACUUAUAGCUUAUGCUGUGGAUAUUCUCUUCCCUGUCUCGUUUGCGCUUUCUCCCUCCACCUUACCACCUUUUUCCUUCUCAACGACCCAUUUAUAUUCACCACACAAAAAAUUCUCACCUACACAAAUUUAUUACGCAAAGGAAUAAAAUAUACGCUCAUAUCUUCUGGAUAAUGCUGCAACUCAAAUGGAUUUGAUGAUUCAUCGUUAUCGUACACACUUAUUUAUGUGCAACUAAAAUAUCAAAAACGAAACUAACUUUUUCCUUCUUUCAUUAAGUUAAUCAAAGUAAUUUACAAAUUAUUAAAGUGACUAACCUAUUCCUAUAAUCUACUAAAAAAGUAAUUAAUUAAUUAAUGUUUAUACACAUGGGAUAAAAUUUAUCCAAUGAAAUACCACAAUUUAAAAAUUCCAUUACGUGGCCGAAUGACUGGUCCAUUAAUUUAUGUGUAUACACGUGACCGAAUGACUGGUUCAUUAACUAUACAAAAUAAAAUAAAAAAGAAUUCAAAAUCGUUAAAUUCAUACAGAGGAAACAAAAGUGCGGAUAAAAUCUGUUUGAAUGUAUUUUCCAAUAACACAUUUUGAAUCCUGAAUUUAAUUUAAAAUGUUUUUUUUACUAUGACAGACAGAGUUUAUGUGUAGAUAAAGAACAUCUAACGAACUCAAAAUGACAAAUAAUUUAUAAUUAACGUGAAUUAAUACACCUAAUUAAUUCUUAAUUUUAGAAUAAAACAAAAUUAACCUAAAAAUCAUGAUAAUUUUAGAUUCAAUAUAAACAAUAUUCUUGUUAUAAUCUUUUGCAACUGUCUUCAUUCUAAUUGAGAUUAAAAAAAUAAAAAUUCUAAAAGAACUGAUGGUGGAAGAUACUAGUGUUUAUCAAGAUAGAGAGAAGACGACUCUAAUCCAUUAAAAAAACAGAUUUUAAGAAGAAAAAAAAGGUAUAUGUAAUAAAACUUAUUAGUUUUUACAAAUUAUUUUAUCAAUUUUCUGCAAAACGUAUAAUUUAGUUACUUAUAUUAAUGUAUAUUUCUUGCAUUUUAAUUUCUUAUAGAAUUGCAUAAUUCUAACGUAUUAUUUUGAUUUUCAUUUUCUAUGAAAACUUGUAAUUUUUAAUGGAAAUUGUUAUGUUUUAUUAAAAUUUAAAUGUAAAUAUUAUGAUAUAUUUCAUUGCAAUUUUUUUGUUUAAUUUGAAUGGUAAUAAACUUUAUAUAGCAAUAAUUUUGUGUUUUGAUCUUAUAUGUAAAUUUCUAAUGGUUAAUGGAAUGAUUGAUUUUAUUAAAAUUUAAAUUUAAAUAUUAUGACAUGUUUCAUUUAUAUUUGUAUGGUUAAUUUUGAAUGUUAAGAAUAUAAAAGUGAUGUUUUCUUUUAGUAGUUGAAAUUUUAUAGUUACUAUAUCGAUUAAACUAUUAAUCUAUUGGCCACAUGUUCAACGACCAUAUAAAAAAAAUAAAAAAAAACAAAUAUAUAUAAUAAUAAUAAUAUUUUUUAAAAAUAACGUGAUCCUCCAAAAAAAAUUGCAUAGAAAAAGUCCCGUGCUUUACAUAACUAUCCACUUGUUACAUCACACGUGUAGAUAAUGAAUUGAGUCAAGAUCCAAUCUUUUAAUGUCAAUAUUUUGAACUCCAACUUCAAACCUAAACAAAAUUAUUUAAUAAUGCUAAUAUUAAUAUUAAUAAUGAAAUUAUUAUUAUUUAUUUAUUUUUUCCCAUUAAUUAAACAUGUAUUUAAAAUAUUUAAUUAUUAAAACAUUACAUAAUAUAGUAUAUUUUUAAAAAAAUAUUAUUCUAGAAUAUGUAAUUAAAAAAAUAUUUUGAAAUUAUAAGGUUUUAUGAAAAAAUUCAAAACGUUUAAACCAAUAAACUCAACCUAAUAUAACUCGAGAAUAACUUUAUUCGAAUUAAGUAUAAUAAUAAAAAGCAGAUAAAUCCAAUUUAAUUCAAAUUUUAUUAGGUUAAAUGGUGGAUUUGUUGAAACCACGUCAUUCAUAUUAAAAUAGGUAGAUAAUAUCAAUGGAAUAAAGAAACGUGGAAAAAAUGGCAAUUAGUGGGUCCCGAGAUUAGUUGGUCCAAUGGCCAAGAAUAUUUUAGAGGGCCCAACAAACAUGCCUCAUUAAUUAGUUUCUCACAACAAUAUAAUAAAAAAAUUAACUUACAAAAUAAGCUGCCACUGCCUGAUUCUGAGUAAGCAAUUUUGAACCCAAAUUAGAGUUAAAAUUCCCCGUUUCUAGGUUUAAAUAUACGAACAAAUUAAGAAUAAAAAUAUAUAAAUGGAGGACAGUUCUUAUCUUGUAAAAUGUAGAAUUGAAUUUAAACUAAACCCAAAUUAUAAUGAUAGAUAUUAUUUUGUUUUGUUUAACUAAUCAACAUUGUUAGUUUUCAAUUGUAUUUUUGUUUGCCAAAACAAAAUAGUUACUUGUGUUGUUACGUAAGUUGCACACUAUCUAUAAAUAAUAACACAGCUGAAUGAAAUAAUGCGCGUGUGAAGGGGUAAUGGAAGUGAAAUAAAUUAAUGGAAAGUUGUAAGAGAGAACGUGAAGGACGUGGUGGGGAGCAACUGGUUUUAUAAUUACUUUGAACUGAUUUCACCAUAAAGAAAUUGACUAGUGAAUGCUUACACACAAAUGACAGAGGUUUUCUUAGGUGAAGUUGGGUUUUAGAUGCAAUUAAUUAAUGUCUUAACGACCCAUUUGCUGUGUUGUUUUAAGAAAGCAGCGUAGAUUCUCUCACCACCUUUACACCCUCUUUUAGGAGCACUGUUCCAUCACUUUCAUUCUUUAUUUGUGAAAGCAACAUGUGUAAAAAAAAAUAUUCAGAAAAGAAAAACUAGAGACAAAAGCAGGUGUCACUUCACUCUCAUUCUUUCAGAGGUUGUGAAAUUAUCCUAUUCAUGGCAAAUUAGCCAAAAUUGGUGGCACUUUGUCAAGAGUGUCGCAUAAGGAAGUGCCAUCAAUUUCCUGUUAAAAUGAGGUAGGUUGCGUUGCGUAACGAGGAAGAGGUCUUGGAUCGUAGUACGUUGGGGAGAGGUACAUAGCAAUUAUUUGAGGAGUAGAGUAGGGUGGAAUAGAGUAGAGAGACCCUUUUUGUUAAGUUGUCAACUUCAUUUCCCUCUGCAUGCACUCACACUCAGUCACGUUGUGCUUUGUUUAUCUGGAUAACUAAUGGAGACAACCACACAUGCACAUCUAAAGAUCUUCUGAACCACCAUUUGCUUUUCCACCUGCUAUACACAUUACUGCAAUACCACUGUUAGAUCUAAGAAAUAAAACAAAAUUGUACUUCCAUGCUCAACUUUUUAACCAAUUUCCUCCUUUAUUUUCUAACUCUUACGGUUAAGUUAAUUUGAUUAGUUCCAAGUAUUAAUGCUUAUAUGUAUAAUUGUUAUUUCAGCUCAAAAUAUUGUCUUGUGUAGUUUCCUUAUUCCUUAUUAAAUGUAGAAUUUUUUAACAAAAAAGCCUUUAUUUAUCUGUCAUUAUCAAAAUUCAUUGCUGUGUUCUCUUGUAAGUAUAGUAUCUUUUGUUUUUUUUGUUUUUAUUUAAAUCUCAUUUUCAAAAUUCAAAACAAUAUUAAUUAUUCUCUUACUAUUUAUACCCUGAUCUUUCGUAUAAUUUUUAAUUAGUUUAUCUAUGCAUAUUUAUUAUUAUAUAAAAAAAAGUAAAACAAAAAAUCUUAUAAAUAUUUUAUUACUUCUAAAAGAAAGUUAAACGGAAUUGUGGAAGUAAUAUUUUGUACAAGUAACUGAUCUUGUACACGGCGGGGGGGGGGGGGGUGGGGGGGCUUGUAAACCAAGAAAAACAUCAUUACCACAUACUUUGAACAUAGUAAUCAUAAAAGUAGCGUGUUUCAUCCUACAGGCAGCAUUUAGUGCUGAUUUUUCGAUUUCAAUACCCAUACAUAAUAACAUAAUUGACAAGGUCAGCGUCAGCAUUUACAUUCAGAAUGAAACAGCAGCGUCAGCAUCCAUAUCAGUCACCUCUCUUACGAGGUUUUUGGUAGAAGGCAAACCAGCAGUUACCUCCUCUUCAAUCCCGCAUUCGUUUGUCCCCCUUCGGAUCUUGAAGUAACCAUCCUGCGGUUAAGAUUAAAUUAGUCCAUCAUUAGCUAAGACACAACUUAAGUAACAGACAUUCCAGUUGAAGAAAUAAAUCAAGAAACAUACAUCUCCCCAUUCUCUGUUCCACUGAUUUGCGAGAAGCUGAAACAAUGAAAAGUAUCCAAUCAGUAUAUAAAUCUGAAUUUCAGAUAGUAUCCCCCAGGGAACUGAAAUGUAAAUAAGGAACAUAUCAACAUACCCAAUAGUCUUGUCCAUCAUCAGUUGUUCCCCACCCAAUUAGCUUCACUGCAUGACCGCCUAGUGCAUAACCUGUGACGUGUUUGUAAACUCCUGACUUGUAAUGAGCAAAAUCCUGUGAAGAGGUCAAAUUAGUAAAAGGCAAACUUGUCUUAAAGCAACCAAGCAAACUGCUCAAUAUGCUUGAAACUAUUCACAGAAGAAAACAAAGGUUAACGUAAUGUUUAGGGUUUAGGAUUUAUUAUUUAGUGUCUAGGGUUUAUGUUGGAGGUUUAGACACUACAUGCAAAAUGAUGCAGGUAACAGUCACAGAUGCUUUAGUUAGUUGAAAGGUCAUGGGCAAGGAGGGGCCCUUGGAAAUGCUUUAACGGGAAAGAUGCUAUUCUAAUCCUGCUCGAAUGAUGGGGACAAGAAAGUGACAUAAGUUGUAGUUGCAAGAUUUUAACUGCAUGUAAGAGACCAAACAAUAAAUAAAUGACUCCUAUAGGUCAAUGCUUUUAAUAAAGAGAAUCCAAUGACUCAAAAAUAUGCUAAAGGGGCUUAAUAGCUAGGGGGUGACCAAUGCAACAUAUAAUAGGGCCAGGUUGUUGUAAGGCCUUUUCUAUUUUUGGCAAGCUAAAAUUGUGUCUCCACCAGUUAUGAUUGAUAAUACUAGUUUCUGAUUUAAAACUGUUACUUUCUAUCCUAAUGUCAAUCCACAACCCAAAGUAUAAAAGAUGACAACUGCCCCCAUUUUUGUUCUGAUAAAGAAAGCAACCAAAUAAAGAGGAAAAAAGAAAAAGAAAAAAAAAUCAGAGAACGGAGAAGAAACAAAAGAAUAAAUCUUUUAUGUCAAACCAUUUCUUUUGUUAAUGCAUAAAUUACCAUGACUGCUCACUCCGUAUUUUAGCAGACUGAAUGCAAGGAAAUAAAUCCUAAUACGAAAACCCUUCCACAUAAUCCUUGUCCUAAUACGAUCCCUUAAUGAGCAUCAUAUAUACCCUUGAAAAGCCUACUACUUCUGGGUAUGUAUUAAUCAAGUGUAGGAAUGGAAUAUGAUCUUAGUUUACUUAGUACUUUUGGUCCAAGACCUUUUCCAUGUGAUUCAUACAAACAAACGCAUUUUAUUCCCCGUUUUUCUCAUUUGAGAAUUGAUAUUUUAUCUUUAUUUGUAAACCUUAACCUUAAACCCUCCAUGAAAGCCAAUAGCUCCAGACAUAUGCAUGAGUCAAAACCAGCCCCAAAGGAACCAUUAAGGAGAAUAAUAUACCACAGAAGAUGAGAGCAAUGACUAGCUAAUGCUGGUGAAAGCAAAGGGAUUAAUAAAAAGCAACAGACCUCAUCAGCACCAACAUUAGCCUUAUCAAAUAAAAGUAGGGCUACUUAGAUGCAUUUGCAAGUUUAAAGAGCAUACUUAAAAGAUAGGUAAAUCUGAAAAACAUAUAUGCAAAGACUUUAGAGGCACCCAGCUUAAUUGAAAGAAGAAGAAAGAUGAGAAUUGACAUAGAUCAGGAAUACGUGAAGAUCUAUGGAAUGAUAAAAUGGCACAAAAUGAACAACAUUUAGACAAUGAGAAGCUCGCGAUUAAGCAUGAAAAACCCAAAACACAUGGAAAAAAAAAGAUUCCCUGCUGGUUAUGUUUGGGGAAGUUAAUUGUAAUGUAUUGAAUCUCAGUCUAGCUAAAAGUAAGCACUAAUGCCAAUAUGACAAUUAAGGAGAAAACAUAAUAAGGAAAAGUUCAUAAUAAAAAUUGAAAAACACCGUGUUAUAAAAGAUUUUUUCUAACAUCACUAUAAACCCAACAACUUUAAUAUCUACUAAUUAUCACUCCAGUCCAUAUAUCUGAUCCCCAAUCAUUCUCCCUUCACAUAUAUUGUUUAAAGUUUUAAACCCAAAACAAUCCUCAAUCAUAUCAUAUUCAAUUUGCACACCCACUAGAUGCCAGUCCCAAAGUCGUGGGCCCAAUUAAAUAUAAAUAAUUUGUAUACAUUAUUAAAAAAUAUUUAGCAUAAAUAUAUUCUGAUUUGUACAACAUCUUUUGAAAUUUAGGAGAAUUGUAGCCUUCAUCUUAUAAGAUGAGGUUUGCACUCACUUAUACAUUAUGAAAUGUCCUAAUCUCUAGUCGAUGUGGGAUCUCCAUCACACCCUCACGUCAAGACUCUCAACUCGUGCGUGAGACUAUAUAUUAUGGGUGGUUCGAUAGCAGCUUGAUAAACCCAACAAACUCUCGCUAUGAUAGAUUCUAAAUGGCUUUGAUACCAUAUUAAGAAGUGAACUUUAAGCCUAACUCAACCUUAUAAAACUGGCUUAUAAGGCGAGAUUUGCACCAACUUAUAUACUAUGAAAUGUCCUAAUCUCUAGUCGAUAUAGGAUUUUCAACACUCACAACUCAUUAAGUUAAGACCAUUUUGAAAGGGAAAGGUCAUUUAAUAGAUGAUGCCUUUGCGGAAGAUGAUCCUACAUUCAAGUCUUGGGAUGAAGAAGACUCCAUGAUCAUGGCAUGCUUAUGGAAUUCAAUGGUUCCAGAAAUCAAUGACACAUGUAUGUUCCUCAAUUCAACAAAAGCAAUAUGGUUCACAAUAGAGGAAACAUAUUAUAAGGAAAAGGAUGUUGCACAAAUUUAUGAUGUGAAGGUGAAAACCAUGGCUGCCAAACAAGGCACCAAAACUAUUACUGAGUAUGCUAAUCGGCUUAAAGUUUUAUGGAUGGAAUUGGAUCACUAAGGAUUCAACAAUUCUAAAAAAGGACAUUGAAUAGGAUCAAGUGUAUAAUAUUUUGGUAGGUCCAAACAAAGAAUAUGAUCAAGUCAAAAUUCAAAUAUUGGGAGUCAUGGCAAUUAUUCAGGGUGAAUAAAGUAGGAGGAGUCUAAUGCUACAGACUCCUGUUGUAGAAAGUUUAGCAAUGGUUGCUAAAGGAACAACAUCCAUGGUCAGGACCAAAGAAAAGGAGUCUUACUUACAAAGAUGGAAAAGAAAAAUGAAGGAGUAUGGUGUACUUAUUGGUCUAUGUGGAUGAUAUCAUUGUUAUGGUAAAUGACUAAAAGGAGCAACAAAGGUUAAGACAAUGUCUUGGCAAAGAAUUUGAAAUCAAGACUUUAGGAAAGUUGAAAUAUUUUUUUAGAAUUGAAGUAGCUCAUUCCAAGAAAGGGAUCUUCACAUCUCAGCUAAAAUACAUUACAAAUUUGUUACAAGAAUCAGCCAAAACAGCCUGCAAACCAACAAGCACACUUAUUGAUCCAAAUUCAAAGUUGGGAAGUGCAGAGGAUGAUGUUGUUAUGGAUAAAGAAGUGUACCAGAGACUUGUAGGAAGACUUAGUUAUCUAUCUCACACUAGACCAGAUAUUGCUUUUGUUGUGAUCUAUAGUCAGCCAAUUUAUGCAUCAACUAAAGGAAGCACAUUUACAAGUUGCUCUUAGAAUUGUCCAAUAUUUGAAAGGAACACCAGAAAGAGGAAUUUUAUUCAGAACAAACAAGGGCAUAUAAUGAUGUUAGUUAGGUUCAGUUGUGUAUAGGAGGUCAACUACUAGAUAUUAUACCUUCCUUGGUGGAAACCUAGUAACUUGUUAGAGUAAAAAACAAAGUAGUGCUGAAGCACUCAAGGAAUAUGUGAAAUGUUAUGGCUUAAGAUUAUAUUGGAGGACUUGAUGAUAAAGUGGGAUGAACCUAUGAGGUAUAUAUUAUGACAAUAAAUCUGCAAUCACUAUAGCUCACAGCCCAGUGCAACAUAAUACUAAUAGAACUAAACAUAUUGAAGUGGAGAGACAUUUUAUCAAAGAAAAGCUUGAUAGUGGCAUGAUUUGCACUCCAUAUGUGUCUACUCAAGGACAGCUUGCAGACAUACUUAUCAGGGGGCUGAAAAACAGUAACUUAGAAAGAAUUCUAUUCAAGCUGAGAAAGGACACCAACUAGAGAGGGAAUAUCAAGAUAUUUUAGGAAGUUUCAAAUUUGAUUCCUUUUUAUUUUUUUAAUUUUGUAUAUUGGUUGUAUCUUGUUUUUAUUACUAGCAUAUCAAUCCCAUAAUCUCAAGGAUUUGUUUCCCAAAAUAGGCAGUGCUUGUUUCCAAAUUUAUCCAAUUAAUGUAUGUAUAUAAGAUGUAAGUAAAUGAAACUGAAUAAGAGAAAUUAUUUUCUUCUAAGCUUGAGAAUGGUAUCAGGAAGGAUGGUAAUGACAUUAAUGUUGCCCUUGAUGGUGGUAGUAACAAUGAUGGUGAUCAUAACGAGAAGGGUCUUUACCAAAAAUAGCAAGGGUAGGUUUUGCCAAAACUAAACCAAAUUUGCAAAUAAUUUUCUUGGUUUAGAAAAUGAAUGUAAAAAAGUUUCAAAAUUAAGUAAUAAAUCAUUUCAACUCCAUUUUGGCAAACACUUUCUGUUUUGAAAAAUGCAUUUGAAGAGCACCAACUCAACCAUUUCAAACAGGACCUAAUGCAUGCACUCUUUUGUUGUUGUGACAAUAACAACUCACAUUGUUACCCUAAAAUGAAUUUUCAACUUUCUUAAUUCAUUAUAUUACAGCCGAGGUUACUGCACAUCCCAAUUUUCUUGCAAACAUUAUCCCAACAUUGCAAUCAACAUACAAUAAAGCAAGUGAUAUCAAUAAUACAAAGUUAAUGAAUACCUUUAAUUUAAGGAGAAGUUCCAUGAAAUCUACUUAAAUGAUACACACUCCCUUGAAAUCUUCUUAAGUGACAUUCAUACUCCCUCUAGAUUUUAAUUAGACACUCACUUCUAUGGUGUUUUUAAUAAAGUAACACUUACCCUUUAUUUGAUUAAUAAAGGGACAAAUACACCCCUUCUUUGAUGCUACGAGAAGAAGAGUAUUUUUUUAAAACUAGAGGGGGUAAGAAAGAUAUGUGCAAUUUUCCCUCAAUGCAACAAUAAUUCUUUAAGAAAUGGCCAAGGGUUAACCCCCAUUCAGCUAUAGCAAACCACUAUUUUCCAACUCUUAGCUAUACUUCAUAUAUAACUUUGAAAGAGUAAUAUACCUUCAAUAUUCCAUCAAAAAAGUCAAUCCACAAUUAGUUAGAGGAUCCAAAAUAACCACAAAAGAGUUCAACAGAGAUAUUUAUUCUAAAGAGGUUUAGAGUCACGCAUAAUGGAAAGCAUCAAAUGGUCUGUGAUUGAGCCUCCAAUAAUAUAAUAUUCACUUCAACCUCCCCACUAGUUCUUCUAAACUAUGAAAACCUGCUAGAGAUUUCCCAUUCCUCUCCACCUAUCCAUAAGUUUUUAUUUUGUAACAUGUUUUGCAUGUUAGAUCACAUGCACCAAUCUCAAACACUCUGAAUCAAUUGUUUCAAAAUUAUUGUCGUACAAUUAUAAAUUAUAGAUAGGAUAUUUUGAGUUUUUAGAAAUUGACCAUGGAAGUUGCAGAAAAUUCAAUUGCAGUGUGGAUAAGAGUUCUUAUUUACCUCAUAAACAGUAAAUGCGACCUCAACUGGCCCAUUUGUGUACACUUCUGCCAUUAUAUCAUGGGGAUUAGAGUUGACCGUGUAGGCAUUGACACUAAAGUGCUUUGACUUCUUCCACAGCUGGUUCCCCCCAUCUACACAUUUUUUAACACACUUGGGAGUCC